rnacentral:rRNA from 1 species
CCUACGGGAGGCAGCAGUGGGGAAUAUUGCACAAUGGAGGAAACCCUGAUCCAGCAACGCAGCGUGAAGGAAGACGGUUUUCGGAUUGGUAACUUUUAUCAAUAGGGAAGUAAGAAAUUACGGUACCUAAAUAAUAAGCCCCGGCUAACUAUGUGCCAGCAGCCGCGGUAAUACGUAGGGGGCAAGCGUUAUCCGGAAUUACUGGGUGUAAAGGGAGAGUAGGCGGCAAGGUAAGCGAUAUGUGAAAGCCUUCAGCUUAACUUAAAGAUGGCAUAACGAACUAGCUAGCUAGAGUACAGGAGAGGAAAGCGGAAUUCCUAGUGUAGCGGUGAAAUGCGUAGAUAUUAGGAAGAACACCAGUGGCGAAGGCGGCUUUCUGGACUGAAACUGACGCUGAGGCUCGAAAGCGUGGGGAGCGAACAGGAUUAGAUACCCCUGUAGUC